rnacentral:piRNA from 1 species
UCCACAAUUACUAAGAUGGAAGCUUGCCU